rnacentral:rRNA from 1 species
AGAGUUUGAUCCUGGCUCAGAACGAACGCUGGCGGCAUGCCUAACACAUGCAAGUCGGACGCUGCUUGGGGUUUCGGCCCCAUGUGGAGUGGCGCACGGGUGAGUAGCGCGUGGGAACCUGUCCUUUUGUGGGGGAUAACCGAGGGAAACUUCGGCUAAUACCGCAUGCGCCCCCGGACUUGAUCCGGGGGGAAAGAUUU